CUCGCGAGAUUUAAAAGCGACGGUUAAAGGACCGGGUGGCCAGUAGGAUGAGGAUGACUUCAUCCGAAAAAUCUUGUUUCCUGUACGACAAUGCAGCAUCAGUCCAAGAGAGCCUGGAUUACAUCAUUCCGUGGGCUGUGGGCACAUGCCUGUGCUCUUGUCAGAAGCUGCUGUGGUCCUGAAAUGCUGCAAAAGGAGAAUUUGUGCCUUUUAAAUCUUGGGUUCUGGGGAUUAUGCCAGGGCUGGUUACACAGCAGGAGAAACCAGACCCAUGAUGUCAUUCAACAUAUCUUCUCCCAGAGACUAGAUACGCUUGUGAGCUAGAUUUGGACUUUUGUACUUGCUUCAUGGGAAUAGGUAUUCUGUUUUGCUUUGUUUUGUUUUAAACCUCAAAUUACCCCAUAUCCCAUGGCCCUGGUUUUAGUAAAUAUCCUUGUACUGCUCUGAUUUUUCAGCCUGAGGUUGUCAAUAACAAACAAUAGUAACUUCAUAAUGAGACAAAGUGCACUGUUGUUGUUUGUUGAAUCAUUUUGCAUCUCACAGAAAAUGUAAUGGAUGAUAGUGACAGGCUUCUGUCACCUGCCAUAGCUCCAGAAGAGGAGGACUUUAAUCUCAACUGUAGAAACUGUUAGUUAACUCUUCCUGUGGGAAGCUCCAGACCCCCACCAUCACUGCCACCUCUCCCCCACCCUCCUCACCCACCCUUUAGUCCCCCCCAAAAUAGGCUGUUAAUGAGAGAGCCUCUCAAUUAGGGGAAUGAAGGAUGCUCUGGUUGAUUUUUUUUUCUGGAAUAAAUUUUAAUCUAA